rnacentral:tRNA from 1 species
UGGGCCGUAGCCAAGCGGUAAGGCAGCGGGUUUUGAUCCCGUCAUGCGAAGGUUCGAAUCCUUCCGGCCCAGCCA